AGCUGCGUGUCUCAAACCUUAGGGGGCCCAAACCCUAAUUCCAACGACGGGCCUAAAGUGUUCGGGCCAAGUUUUAGUUUUUGGGUUUUCUUUUUUAUUUUUUUUAUUUUUUAUUUUUUAAAAUAGAAUAGAUGUUGGGGUUCCACGAAUGGGUCACGAAGAAUUUUAAUUCUUUAUUUCUGUUCUUUGCAUGUCGUAGUGUUAAUCCCUUAUGCUCUUUACCUGCUUUUGUUCGUCUCUGCUUGUUAAUAUGCUUUAUUAACUGCACUUAGACAAGCAUGAUAG
rnacentral:lncRNA from 1 species